rnacentral:rRNA from 1 species
UACGUAGGAAGCAAGCGUUGUCCGGAUUUAUUGGGUUUAAAGGGUGCGAAGGCGGCUUAUUAAGUUAGUGGUGAAAACGGUCGGCUCAACCGUAUACCCGCCAUUGAUACUGAUAGACUUGAGUGCGACAGAGGGUGUUGGAAUGUGUGGUGUAGCGGUGAAAUGCUUAGAGAUCACGCAGAACACCAAUUGCGAAGGCAGAUGCCUAUGUCGUAACUGACGCUGAGGCACGAAAGAGUGGGGAGCAAACAGG